ACGAACGCUGGCGGCGUGCUUAACACGUGCAAGUCGAACGGAAAGGCCCUGCUUUUGUGGGGUGCUCGAGUGGCGAACGGGUGAGUAACACGUGAGUAACCUGCCCUUGACUUUGGGAUAACUUCAGGAAACUGGGGCUAAUACCGGAUAGGAGCUCCUGCUGCAUGGUGGGGGUUGGAAAGUUUCGGCGGUUGGGGAUGGACUCGCGGCUUAUCAGCUUGUUGGUGGGGUAGUGGCUUACCAAGGCUUUGACGGGUAGCCGGCCUGAGAGGGUGACCGGCCACAUUGGGACUGAGAUACGGCCCAGACUCCUACGGGAGGCAGCAGUGGGGAAUAUUGCACAAUGGGCGGAAGCCUGAUGCAGCAACGCCGCGUGCGGGAUGACGGCCUUCGGGUUGUAAACCGCUUUCGCCUGUGACGAAGCGUGAGUGACGGUAAUGGGUAAAGAAGCACCGGCUAACUACGUG
rnacentral:rRNA from 1 species